rnacentral:rRNA from 1 species
UACAGAGGGUGCGAGCGUUAAUCGGAAUUACUGGGCGUAAAGGGCGCGUAGGCGGUAAGAUGUGUGUGAUGUGAAAGCCCCGGGCUUAACCUGGGAAGUGCAUCGCAAACUAUCUAGCUAGAGUAUAUGAGAGGGUGGCGGAAUUUCCGGUGUAGCGGUGAAAUGCGUAGAUAUCGAGAGGAACACCUGCGGCGAAGGCGGGUUGCUGGGCUGACACUGACGCUGAGGCGCGAAAGCUAGGGGAGCGAACGGG